GAGAAGGAACGAGAGAAGGAGAU
rnacentral:piRNA from 1 species